rnacentral:rRNA from 1 species
UACGGAGGGUGCAAGCGUUAUCCGGAUUCACUGGGUUUAAAGGGUGCGUAGGCGGGUUGGUAAGUCCGUGGUGAAAUCUCCAAGCUUAACUUGGAAACUACCGUGGAUACUAUCAAUCUUGAAUAUCGUGGAGGUAAGCGGAAUAUGUCAUGUAGCGGUGAAAUGCUUAGAUAUGACAUAGAACACCAAUUGCGUAGGCAGCUUACUACACGAUCAUUGACGCUGAGGCACGAAAGCGUGGGGAGCAAACAGG